rnacentral:rRNA from 1 species
AUUGAACGCUGGCGGCAGGCCUAACACAUGCAAGUCAAGCGGAUGAAGGGAGCUUGCUCCUGGAUUCAGCGGCGGACGGGUGAGUAAUGCCUAGGAAUCUGCCUGGUAGUGGGGGAUAACGUCCGGAAACGGGCGCUAAUACCGCAUACGUCCUGAGGGAGAAAGUGGGGGAUCUUCGGACCUCACGCUAUCAGAUGAGCCUAGGUCGGAUUAGCUAGUUGGUGGGGUAAAGGCCUACCAAGGCGACGAUCCGUAACUGGUCUGAGAGGAUGAUCAGUCACACUGGAACUGAGACACGAUCCAGACUCCUACGGGAGGCAGCAGUGGGGAAUAUUGGACAAUGGGCGAAAGCCUGAUCCAGCCAUGCCGCGUGUGUGAAGAAGGUCUUCGGAUUGUAAAGCACUUUAAGUUGGGAGGAAGGGCAGUAAGUUAAUACCUUGCUGUUUUGACGUUACCAACAGAAUAAGCACCGGCUAACUUCGUG